AGUAAGUGACUCAGGCCCACAUGUCAUCCUCACAAUCCAUUUUUCUUGCUCAAGUCUGUUGGCCAUCGUCUUGAGCCGACCCUCAUCUUCAACCUCUGGACACCAAUCAUCCCUACUCCCGCAAGAAGAUCCCCAAAUCCAUGGGUCUCAAAAAAAAUUCUCCAAAUCCAUGCCUCAGGUCAGCCACGGCAAGAAGAGUGCCAGCUUCAAUUGGGAGCCACAGCACCGUAGGAACUAGGCAAGAAUCUCGCAAUGCAGUACAAUUUUUGGCUGCUUCUCAUAUAAAAAUCUUUACUCUUUGUAAAAAAAAUUAUUUAACAUAUAUAUAGAAACGUAUCCCCGUAUCUAUGUUUUUCAAAAA